GGGGUCGUGCCGAUGCUUCCUUCAUUUGUGCUGAACUUUCACUCACUCAGCAGGUGGAAAAAACAGAAUUAGUUCAAAAGGAGGAGAGAAAAACGGCUAGAAAAAUAGAAAUAUACGGACUGGAAUGUACGAGAGCAGGAGACGCUCUGAGAGAAGCAUCGUUGGUUUGGUUGUUUGGAGAAUUCCUGGUCUGCAGGCGAAACUAAAAAAUAAAUAAAAACAGGAGCUGCUGGACACUCUGGAGAUUAAGCUGCUGAAACACCAGGAGCUGCUGCUUUUAUUUUGGAAUGUGGUCGAGUUCUGGAGCAGCGGGAAGAUUCUGGGAACGCUGACCUCCUUCAUCAUCAUCAUCAUCAUCAUCAUCAUCAUCAGUUGGUCCUUUAAAUUAAAGAUGGACAUUUAAAAAAGACAAAGAGAAUCUCUGUCCUCCUGGAGACGUCAUGUGACCGGCAGGUGUGUUGUUGUUGUGUUGUUGUUGUGUGUUUGUGUAGCGGCAGCUAUGUUGUUGUUGUGUUGUUGUUGUUGUGUGUUUGUGUAGCGGCAGCUAUGUUGUUGUGUUGUUGUUGUGUGUUUGUGUAGCGGCAGGUGUGUUGUCAUGCAUUUUUGUUGUUUUGUUUGUUGUCGCGUUUUUGCAUGUUGUGCGUGCAUAUUGUGUGUCUGCAGGGGUGUUGUUGUGCGUUGUGUGUAUUUGCGUAUAGUGGCCCGUGUGUUGUGUGUUUCUGUGGCAGCAGAUGUGUUGUAUGUUUGAUGACAGCUGCGUUUUUUGUUGUUUUGUGUUUGUGUCGUUGUGUUUUUGCAUGUUGUUGUGUUUGUGUGUCUGAAGGUGUUGUUGUGUAUUGUUGUGUAUUGUUCAUUUAUGUGUUGUGUGUUGCACGUGUAUUGUGUUGUGUAUUUUGUAUAUUGUGUGUUUGCAGGUGUGUUGUGUAUUUAUGUGUGUGUUGUGUGUCUGCUGGUGUGUUAUUGUGUACUGAUGUAUUGUUGUGUUAUUGUUGUGUGUUGUGUUGUCUAUUGUGUAUUGAUGUGUUGUAUAUUGUGUAUUGUUGUCUAUUUUGUAUGUAUUGUGUAUUGAUGUGUGUUUUGUUGUGUAUUGUCUAUUGAUGUGUAUAGUUGUGUGUUGUUGGAUUGUCUAUUGUUGUGUAUUGUGUUGUUGUACAUUGUUAUUGUUGUUUUGUCUAUUGUGUGUAUUGUUAUUGUUGUGUAUUGUUGUAUUGUCUAUUGUUGUUGUGUAUUGUGUGCAUUGUGUUAUUGUUGUGUUGUUGUAUUGUCUAUUAUUGUGUGUUGUUGUGUAUUGUUGUGUGUUGUAUUGUCUAUUGUUGUGUAUUGUUAUGUGUUAUGUUGUCUAUUGUUGUGUGUAUUGUUAUUGUUGUGUGUUGUCUAUUGUUGUGUAUUGUUGUGUGUUGUAUUAUUGUUGUUGCUGUGUGUUGUGCAUCUGCUGAUGUGUUAAUGUGUAUUGAUGUAUUGUUGUGUGUUGUUAUUGUGUGUUGUUGUAUUGUCUAUUGUUGUGUGUAUUGUUGUGUGUUAUUGUUGUGUAUGGUCUAUUGGUGUUGUCUAUUGUUGUUGUGUAUUGUAUUAUUGUUGUUGUGUUGUUGUCUAUUGUGUGUAUUGUUAUUGUUGUGUGUUGUUGUAUUGUCUAUUGUUGUAUUGUUGUGUUAUUGUUGUGUGUUGUGCAUCUGCUGGUGUGUUAUUGUGUAUUGAUGUAUUGUGUGUUAUUGUGUUGUUGUUGUAUUGUCUAUUGUGUGUAUUGUGUUAUUGUGUGUUGUGCAUCUGCUGGUGUGUUAUUGUGUGUUAUUGUUGUGUUGUUGUUGUAUUGUCUAUUGUUGUGUAUUGUUGUGUUAUAGUUGUGUGUUGUGCGUCUCCAGAUGUUCCAGCUGUGUGUGUCUGCAUCGUUCUGUCAGAUCCGAGUCGUUUGGGAAAAGAAUCCAGACGGAGUUUUAUUUUGACAGAAACGACUCAAACCUGUGAAGCAGAAACUCUGCGUCUCCUGACGCGACACGCGUGUUAAAAAAGACACGGGAUGACGAGCGUGAAGCGUGACGAACACCAGACUGAUGAUGGAUCAGAAAAUAAAACAAACAAAACAACAAACAGCAGAAACGGUUUCAGUUUGAACGUUUCAUGAUCAGAAUUUAUUACAGAAUAACGAGUGGAAACGACUCUGGAGCUUUAAUUUAACCCAAACUGAAGAUAUUAAAGCUGAAUUAUUGAUUAUUAACGAUCAAUUAACUUCAAACAAUUAACUCAUGUCUGCUGCAUUUUAAAGAAUUAUUUAAAUUUAACUCCAUUUAAACAAAAACAAGUGAAGAAUUCCAUCUAUGAAGCAUCAAAACAACAGAAAACUGUUAAAAUUAGACAAACAGGAUCCAUUAAUCAGUUAAAUGCAGAUAAAUACUGUAAAGUUCUGAUCUGUAAACAGAUUUAUUUCCAUCUGUAAACAG
ensembl:lncRNA